CUAGCGACUUCAGAGUUUGAUCCUGGCUCAGGAUGAACGCUGGCGGCGUGCUUAACACAUGCAAGUCGAACGAAGCGCUUUGAAGUUUUCGGACAGAUGAGUGACUUAGUGGCGGACGGGUGAGUAACGCGUGGGUAACCUGCCUCGUACAGGGGGAUAACAGUUAGAAAUGACUGCUAAUACCGCAUAUGCACACAGCACCGCAUGGUGCAGGGUGGAAAGAUUUAUCGGUACGAGAUGGACCCGCGUUGGAUUAGCUAGUUGGUGAGGUAACGGCCCACCAAGGCGACGAUCCAUAGCCGGCCUGAGAGGGUGAACGGCCACAUUGGGACUGAGACACGGCCCAA
rnacentral:rRNA from 1 species